GCAUAUCGUGACCUGGUAGGGCAUCGUCGCCAUCGUCCUCCAGCAGCGAUGAAGCCCUCAGUUUGUCCUUCUUGGAUUGAUCCUGGCAAUGCGCUUAGAUUUCUUGUUAGGGUUGCUAAGUAUGUUGCGAAUCUAGAGUAUGGAAUGCUACCAAUGUCAGAGCAAGACUAUGAUUGGUGGGUUGAUAUUAGCAGUGGGUAUAAUUUGGAUAAAUUUCAUGAUGAAAUGGCUAGCAAGAUAAUCUGGGGGCCAAGCCAAGAAAUUAGAGUUUGGGGUUUGGACACUGAAAUUGGCACUGAAUGUAAGUUGACAACCAAUGAAGAAUUUGGCCAGUGGAUGAAUUCUAUGUUGGAUGAUAAGCUGGUAGAGUUUGGUGUUGAAGUUAUUUAUAAAAAGGGAUAUGAACCUAUUGAAGGCAUUGCAAAUCCAGUUGAUUCAGCUAUUCAAGGUGUCUCUGGUGUGGUAACU
rnacentral:lncRNA from 1 species